rnacentral:rRNA from 1 species
UAAGAAUUAAAAAGUCGAACAGACUUAUUUAUAAGAACGCUGCUUCUUAAAAUUUUCUUAAUUCAACAUCGAGGUCGCAAAAUACAAUAUAGAUAUGAACUCCCCAUUGAAAUUACGCUGUUAUCCCUAAGGUAACUUAGUCUUAUUUUCCAUUAUAUAGGAUCUAAAAUGACAUACAUAAAUGAAUCCUAAAACUAAAGUUAAUCUAUUUAGCCACCACCCCAGCAAAAUAUAACAUCAAUAUUAAAAAAUAUUACAAUAAAAUUUAAUAAUAUAAAACUAUAUAAAGUUCUACAGGGUCUUAUCGUCCCAAUAAGUCAAUAAAGCAUUUUAACUUUAAAUUUAAAUUUUAACAUUUAAAAAAAUAAAACAUAAUUCUCAUACAUCCAUUCAUUCAAGCUUCCAAUUAAAAAACUAAUUACUAUGCUACCUUUGCACAGUCAAAAUACUGCAGCCAUUUAGAACUUUAAACCAUAGGGCAGAAGAUACUUUCUAUAAAAACA